UCAGUCCCGAGAAAAGGACGGUCUAUUUUUCGCGCCCAAAAUCAGUGGUUGAAAAUGAGCAGCAAGAACGAGAUGAGCCGCCGCAUUGCCGCGGUCGCCAAGAAGAAACGGGCCAAAAAGCCUAAAAACAAUCGGCCUCCUCCUAACAAGGCCAAAGAGACCAAUGACAACAACUCGGCCAGGGGAAGCUCCCUCGGCCCCUCCCCCACCCCUGAUUCCGCCGCCAUUUCUACUCCUCCUUCUACUGGUGGUGGAGGUGGAGGUGAAGGUGGUGGAGGUGGAAGGAAGGCACCACGAGGAGGGAUAGGUGACGCGUGUAAGGGCAGGCCAGGUGAUCACAGGUAACGUAAGGUGUGCU